rnacentral:rRNA from 1 species
AGUGAACGCUGGCGGCGUGCCUAAUACAUGCAAGUCGAACGAUGAAGCUUCUAGCUUGCUAGAAGUGGAUUAGUGGCGCACGGGUGAGUAAGAUAUAGUUAAUCUGCCCUACACAAGAGGACAACAGUUGGAAACGACUGCUAAUACCGCAUAAUGCUUUUGAGCGGCAUCGCUUGAAAGCCAAAGAUUUGUCGCUGAAAGAUGGUCUCGCGUCUGAUUAGCUAGUUGGUGAGGUAACGGCUCACCAAGGCGACGAUCAGUAGCCGGUCUGAGAGGAUGAACGGCCACAUUGGGACUGAGAUACGGCCCAG